UUAAGGAUUUUUACUUCAUAAAAUACAAUAUUUAAAUCAUGUAUUUAAGAGACAAAACUUGGAUAAUUAUGAGAUUACAAAAUCAUAAAUCCCAGAAUUCCUUUGAGAUUAAAGUAUCAAAUUCACAAGAAAAAACUAAUUUUGUAAGAUGUGGUUCCUUGACAAAUAAACCCACUAUUUUCCAAUUUGAGUCUCAGACAAUGUUCAAAUUCUGCGAGUCUUUCCGGGAGUAUUACCCAGCUCCUUCUUUGUUAGUUGUUUGUAAUUAACUUUAGUAGUGUGCUCUGACAACAUAUAUGUUUGCGAGUUUUAACAGCUAUUUCUUCUUCUUACAGACGGGGAAACUUAUACUCAAGCCACGACCGAACAUCCAGUAACCGUGAGCUGGAGUGUGGCGUCUGAUGUCUCUGUUUCUAUCCGCUGAUCACUCCGUGUCUUUAGUCCUUUGGCAGCACUGAGGCGCUUCAUCAUGCGUUUGGAGGAAAGAAGAAAUGACCUGAUUUUGCCUUUUAAACACUGUCGCUGUGCUGACUGCAGAUGAACGCUCAGAUGUGUUAAUUUCUGUUUCUAAUGUUGAGCAUGUAUUUUAAUUAAUUGUUUCUAUUUUUAAAGUUAUUUACCAAAUAAAUAUUUCAGGUGUGAAACUGCC